GCAAUGACCUCGAAUGAUAUUUGUAGAUGAAGAGUCAAGGUCAUAUCAGAUCACACAAAAAUCCAUAUUUUAAGAGCAUAGAUAUACUCUCCUUUUAGCCCCUAUUUGGCUAAUAUUUUACCUUUACAGAGUUUAUUGGUUAAUGGCGUGCAGUGACCUUGAACCAAGUCUGUCAAUGUGAAGGUCAUAGCAGAUCUUUUUAAAAUUAGUUUUAAAUAGUAGAUUAUUUUCCAAAUAUGCUUAAUCUUGGUCAGAUUGAACAAAAAUGCAUCUAUGUUAGGGGGAAUGAAAUUGAAUUAAAAGUUCUAUGCCAGCUGGAAAAAUUUCAAGUUAUAGGUCAAGGUCAAAGCAGAAUUCUCUGAAAUAACCUAAGCGGGGCCCUUUGAAAUGUUCACCAUUUCAAUGUUGUCUGGUUCAUAGUAAUUUUACAUAGAAAAUAUUCACAGAAGUACAGUAAAGUAAACUUAACAUCGAUAAGUUUCUGACAAUUAAUGACGCAACGAGCACACAGUACGAAAGGUCAACCUUUUGAAAAGCAGUGAAGAGGAAAAGUUGCUCAGAAUUAUGUUUUAAACAAAAUUGAUUUUUUACAUAAAUUUUAAUUUUGCAUUCUGGGUUAAGAAAAAAGAUGUUAGUUCAAGGUAAAGUAAACUUGUACCUAAAAUGAAGUCAAAUUUGUUAAGUCGUACUUAAACACAUUGGUUUUUUUUGUUAAGUCGUUCUUGAAAUGGUUAAGGGUUUUUGGUUAAGUCGUACUUAAAAACAUUCGGAUCAUGUUAAGUUGUACCAAGAAUCAUUCGAUUUUUUUUUUAUCUUUUUGUACUUAGGUUUCUUUGUUACUAGAUUAAGAACUCUGCUUCUUAGACGUACUUCUAGCGUUGCUUUCGACAUUAGCGGAAAACCCACUCGUUGCUUUGCAACGAGCUUUGCUCUAGUUAUUAUUUUUUUUUUUUCCCGCAAAUUUUGUGCACGAGAUUUCUCGAACAUUUUUUGUCUGAUUGCUAUGAAACUUUCAGGGUAUGUAGAUGAUAUUAAUAUCUCUAGACGUUUUUUUCAAAUUUUUUAAAUUCACUUCCGGUUAUGAGUUAUUGCCCUUUAAUUAAAAAUUGGGGGGUCUUUUGUCCAGAGUUGAUCUCGGGAACUACAGAUGAUAGAUGCAUGAAAUUUGGCGAAAUUGUCGGUAACAUUUUAUAGUUUUGCUGGCAUGAAAAUUUUGGUAAUUUCUUUGUUAGUUUUUGAGCUAUUUGUCGCCAAAGUUUAAGAUUUUUUCGGGGCUGAAAUUUUGUUGCUUUUUGUAUUAUAACCUUUAAACUUAAAAUAUUUUGUUAAUACAUAUAGAACAAAAGUUGUUUAGAAUAACGAGAGCUUUCAUUUAAAAUUAAGAAAAAAGGGCUGGCCCCUAUAAUUAGGGGUCAGCAGCUCAUACACGUAUUUUUCUGAUAGCAAAAAUCGUUAUCAUUUUAUGAAAAAAAAUUAAUUCAGUUAUUGUUAAUAUAUUAAAUAAUGUCAUUUGGUAUCAAAUUUAAAAAGUUCUGUGCCCUAUUUUUUUCAAAUUUCAUAAAACAAAUAUGUGUGAAUCGUAACGUUACAUGAACGAGUUAAUUUGUCUACAUAGACACACAAGCGAACAAAUGCCACUUUAAGGCCCAGGCAUAUACUGCAUUACGUUGUGUUGCGUCUUAGAUAAAUAGUUGUGAUUCAAUUUCAUUUUUUUCAUCUAUAUCAUUUAUGAAUUCAAUGAACACACAUUAUUUUAACGUUCUAUGUGCAACUAUUUGUCGGGGCGCCCCUGUUUGUAACCCCCGCGCGCGCGCCGAAUGUAAACAGUAACGAACGGCAUUGUAGAAAAGAGAGAGCCGUAAUGCAGAAGAGAAGUUGUGUAUUCUUUCGACGUACAAAUGCAUUUUCAAUUUACUGUGAAACAUAUGAACAUGCACAGGGAACAAUACUACAUAUUUGUUUAAGGAGGAUAUUUUUCUCGUGUGAAUCGUUUACGAGGAAAUUCUGACAGCCACACUUCUGUCGACGAUCAGCCGUUGAUAAGCUACGAGUAAUAAAGGGGAAAAGAUGGACAUUAAAGUGUGUGAUUUAUGUGGAUGUUACUGAAGAAGCUCAAAACAGACUCUUGUUACCACAUGGCUUUUACCGGUACCUGUUGAUUCUUGUGGGUCAGCUCCUGAGAUUAACCUGUCACCUUUAUCCACAUGCAUAUUCCUUGUGUUCUACUGACUAUUUACCGGUAAUUCAAAUUAAAUCCGAUAAUGCAUAAACAAUAAUGGAACUUGAAGAAAGCAUCAUGCCAUGUUGUGGUUUGUGUUUGAUAAGAAAUUAUGAAAACAAAAUUAAGGCUGUUUAUAAAGAAAUUCAUAAUUGCUGUGAAAAUUUGUUUUUCAAUAAAAGUAUGCAAUUAUG